GAUGAAGAACGCAGCGAAAUGCGAUAAGUAGUGUGAAUUGCAGAAUUCAGUGAAUCAUCGAAUCUUUGAACGCACAUUGCGCCCUUCGGUAUUCCGUUGGGCAUGCCUGUUCGAGCGUCAUUUAAACCUUCAAGCUAUGCUUGGUGUUGGGUGUUUGUUCCGCCUCUGCGCGUGGACUCGCCUCAAAUUCAUUGGCAGCCGGUAUGUUGGCUUCGUGCGCAGCACAUUGCAAGCGAUUUCAACAGACCUCAUUCCAUAAGCCCUUUUUUUACUUUGACCUCGGAUCAGGUAGGGAUACCCGCUGAACUUAAGCAUAUCAAUAAGCGGAGGA
rnacentral:misc_RNA from 1 species